rnacentral:rRNA from 1 species
UACACACCGCCCGUCACACCAUGAGAGUUGGGAAUACCCGAAGCCUGUGAGCUAACUUUUAAGAGGCAGCAGUCGAAGGUAGAAUCAAUGAUUGGGGGUGAAGUCGUAACAAGGUAAC